rnacentral:rRNA from 2 species
GUUUGAUCUCAAAUCAGGUAGGACUAC